rnacentral:rRNA from 1 species
GACGAACGCUGGCGGCGUGCUUAACACAUGCAAGUCGAACGGCAAGGCCCUGCUUUUGUGGGGUGCUCGAGUGGCGAACGGGUGAGUAACACGUGAGUAACCUGCCCUUGACUUUGGGAUAACUUCAGGAAACUGGGGCUAAUACCGGAUAGGAGCUCCUGCUGCAUGGUGGGGGUUGGAAAGUUUCGGCGGUUGGGGAUGGACUUGCGGCUUAUCAGCUUGUUGGUGGGGUAGUGGCUUACCAAGGCCUUGCCGGGUAGCCGGCCUGAGAGGGUGACCAGCCACAUUGGGACUGAGAUACGGCCCAGACUCCUACGGGAGGCAGCAGGGGGGAAUAUUGCACAAUGGGCGGAAGCCUGAUGCAGCAACGCCGCGUGCGGGAUGACGGCCUUCGGGUUGUAAACCGCUUGCGCCUGUGACGAAGCGUGAGUGACGGUAAUGGGUAAAGAAGCACCGGCUAACUACGUG